rnacentral:lncRNA from 1 species
UCCAAACUCCAAAGACCCGCAAACCGCAACAGCAGUGCUUAAAACCACCAUCACAAUUGAACCACUCUGUUGUUCAAUCUCUUCUUCACAAUCAUCCACAUUUUUCGAAUCGGGUUUCCCAUCAACAAGCGGCUCGAUCAAGUCUUCGAGCCCUUUGUUGUCGCCUUUCUCGAUAUCCCUGUGCUCUGUAAUCGCCAUAAGUUUGAAGCAAACAGAGCAAACAGGGGUUUGUGUGGAAUUGGGGUGGUGGAAGCAGGGGAGAUAUUUAUGGGAAAGGUGAAGAAGAUGAAGACUCCAUGUGAGAUGAAGCUGUAUCUGACGUGGUUUUACGUGUACGCCCGCCUCUCACCAGUUACGCAGAUAGCGGCUUUUGUCACUUGA